UACAGAGGUUGGUAAAGGUCAAGAGUGAUCAAGAGUGUUUCCGGGAAACACUCUUGAUCACUCUUGACCUUCACCAACCUCUGUACCGCCUCU